rnacentral:lncRNA from 1 species
CCCGAGGGCCCGCGGACGCCCAGCUCCGGCCCUCACCCCGGCCCCGGCCGAGGCCCGCCCCUCGCACCCCCUUCCGGCCUCGGCGUGAGGGUCCCCGCACCCCUGCCCUCUGCCCCGGCCCCAACUCACCGCUGGCCCGCUCCGGCGCGGAGGGCAGCGCGCGCGCCCCGGGUCCAAGCCCGCACCGGCCCUCGAGCAAACUUUCCACCUCGCGCGGGACCCCACAACUCGGGAGCCCAGGGCCCCGGCGGGCGCGAGGAGCGUGAGUGGGCCCCGGGCGGACACCUACCCGCGGCCUGGCAGGGUCAGGGCCCGAGCCCCCGGGGUGGGCGGCAGCUUCCCAAAGGUCCGCAGAGGAGAGGCAGGUAGAGUUGCAUGACUGGGGCGGGGCAGGGGGUUGUCCCAGGGGGCAGACCCGGGAGCGGAGGGCCCGGCGGCUGCGCGCACAAAGCGGUGCGGGCGCGGAUCGCGCUGCCACUCCCCGCCAGGUCAGCCCCCCGGAGCAGUAGUGUCUCCCCAGGACAGACCUCAGGGAGUGAAGCAGGGACUCUCUCUGCCUUUGCUGGACCCUGCACCACUGAGCUAGAGUCAAAACGCGCGCUGGAUUUACCCAAACUGGAGCUGGACUCCCCUCUCGACCCUUACCCCUCCCGUUCACCCUCCUGUCUCAUAACACUUUUUUUUUUUUUUUUUAAGGUCAAAGAAUAUCGGACAGGAAAAGAAGUGUCAAGGUCAAAACUUCGGCUGGAGAGAAAGACUCAUUCCCAUCAUUACCUUGAACACGGGAUCCCUGGGUGGCUCAGCGGUAAAUAAAAUCUUAAAAAAUAAUAAUAAUCCCUACCCUCAUGGAACUUACAUUCUACUUUUUUUUUUUUUUUUUUUUUUUUGCAGUUUUAUACCUUUAUUUGACAAUCAGCGAUUAGUUCUCACUCACAUUAACAGUCUGUAGAUUAUUGAAAGUAGUGACAGGUACGUAGGUAACUAGCGUGUAGAGCUUGUUUGGUGAAUCUUCAUCCUCCUUACGUUUUCUGGACAACCGCACAUGGAUAUGUAGAGGCCGAGAAAAUUAAGGCCAUUCCACCUCAGGUUUAGCGUUAGCACAAGUAUAGCCAUCUCAGGCCUCUGUGAAUAAGAGCUGAACUUUACAGGAAAAACCGCAGAACACCCUUGAUAGAGACUCCCAUGACAGAAUGAGAACAGAGCUUAAUGCCCUUGACAGAAAGUCCCAUAUCAGAAUGAAAACAGAGCUCAGAAUGCCCUUGACAGAGACAGAAAGUCCCAUAUUGGAAUAAAAACAGAGUUUAAGAAAUUCCUCCA